rnacentral:sRNA from 1 species
CUCUAAAGCCCUUAGUUCCGCUCUUUUAAUCUUUCCACUAAUUGUCUUGGGCAGGAAACUCGGCUCUACAAACUGGAUCCGUCGAGGGUACUUGUAAGGGGCAGUUUGCUUUUUACAAAACUCCUGAAGCUCAGUUACCAGGGAAUCAGGAUUGCGUGACUUGAAACCGUCUUGCAAAACAAUGAAGGCUUUGACAACCUCGACACGAUCGGGAUCUGGGGACGCCACUACAGCGGAUUCAACAACUGCAGGGUGCUUCUUGAGGACGGACUCGACUUCAAAUGGACCUGAAAGAAUAUCAAUAUCGCCGUUGUUGUUCCCUACCAAUCUGGCUGCAGGGACUCGCGACUCACCAAUCCUGUACCCGGAUGAGUUUAUAACAUCAUCUGACCGGCCGACAAACCAAAGAGCUUGUCGUGGUUGCAAUGGCAAUUUCACCCUCCUGGAAUGAUGGGGAUUCAUCGCCUUUCUCGUCCACAACAGUCAAGGGCACACCAGGGACCGGGAGGCCCAUUGACCCAUACUUGACCUUGGCCCCUUUCAAAUUUCCGCAAACAAGAGUAGUUUCAGUUUGGCCGUACCCAUCACGAACUUUUAUGCCACUCAUAUCUUCCCAGAUGCGAAUUACCUCGUCGUUCAGCGGCUCUCCUGCCCCAACACAUUGCUCCAGCGCCAAUGGAGGCCUUUGGGAAAAGUACUUGCGC